GCCGCGUGAGGGACGACGGCCUUCGGGUUGUAAACCUCUUUUAGCAGGGAAGAAGCGAAAGUGACGGUACCUGCAGAAAAAGCACCGGCUAACUACGUGCCAGCAGCCGCGGUAAUACGUAGGGUGCAAGCGUUAUCCGGAAUUAUUGGGCGUAAAGAGCUCGUAGGCGGUUUGUCACGUCUGCUGUGAAAACUGGAGGCUCAACCUCCAGCCUGCAGUGGGUACGGGCAGACUAGAGUGCGGUAGGGGAGAUUGGAAUUCCUGGUGUAGCGGUGGAAUGCGCAGAUAUCAGGAGGAACACCGAUGGCGAAGGCAGAUCUCUGGGCCGUAACUGACGCUGAGGAGCGAAAGGGUGGGGAGCAAACAGGCUUAGAUACCCUGGUAGUCCACCCCGUAAACGUUGGGAACUAGUUGUGGGGUCCAUUCCACGGAUUCCGUGACGCAGCUAACGCAUUAAGUUCCCCGCCUGGGGAGUACGGCCGCAAGGCUAAAACUCAAAGGAAUUGACGGGGACCCGCACAAGCGGCGGAGCAUGCGGAUUAAUUCGAUGCAACGCGAAGAACCUUACCAAGGCUUGACAUAUACGAGAACGCUGCAGAAAUGUAGAACUCUUUGGAC
rnacentral:rRNA from 1 species